rnacentral:rRNA from 1 species
UAGGGAAUCUUCGGCAGUGGACGAAAGUCUGACCGAGCAACGCCGCGUGAGUGAAGAAGGUUUUCGGAUCGUAAAACUCUGUUGGUAGAGAAGAACGUUGGUGAGAGUGGAAAGCUCAUCAAGUGACGGUAACUACCCAGAAAGGGACGGCUAACUACGUGCCAG